GUGAUAAUGACAAUUUACUAUCUAUGUGUCUUGACCAAAUCUCGUGCCAGCAGUCGCGGUAAGACGAGGAAGACUAGUGUUAUUCAUCUUUAUUAGGUUUAAAGGGUACCUAGACGGUAGAUUUAGCCCCCUAAAGGGUACAGAUUUACUAGAGUUUUAUGUGAGAGGUAUAUAUUCGUACUAUUAAUGUAGAGAUGAAAUUCUUUGAUAUUUCUAGGACUGGUAACGGCGAAAGCAACCCUUUAUAAAAAAACUGACGUUGAGGGACGAAGGCUUGGGUAGCGAAUAGGAUUAGAUACCCUAGUAGUCCAGGCAGACAAUUAUGAGUGUCAUAUAUUAAGAGUAAUCUCAUAUAGAGACUAUUUUAGUGUAUAAAUGAAAGUGUAAGCAUUCCACCUCAAGAGUAAUGUGGCAACGCAGGAACUGAAAUCAUUAGACCGUUUCUGAAACCAGUAGUGAAGUAUGUUAUUUAAUUCGAUAGUCCUCGAAAAACCUUACCACAAUUUGAAUACUAAUGUAAAUUAAUUAAAAUAUAUAAAUAUAUUUUAUAUAUAUAAUAUAAACUUAUAUUAAUACAAG
rnacentral:rRNA from 1 species